GACAUCAGUAGCCACGGUAAUACGAAGGGUGCAAGCGUUACUCGGAAUUACUGGGCGUAAAGCGUGCGUAGGUGGUGGUUUAAGUCCGUUGUGAAAGCCCUGGGCUCAACCUGGGAAUUGCAGUGGAUACUGGCAAGCUAGAGUACGGUAGAGGGGGAUAGAAUUCCACGUGUAGCAGUGAAAUGCGUAGAUAUGUGGAGGAAUACCGAUGGCGAAGGCAGCCCCCUGGGAUAACACUGACGCUCAUGCACUAAAGCGUGGGGAGCAAACAGGAUUAGAUACCCCGGUAGUCCCUGUCUCUUAUAC
rnacentral:rRNA from 1 species